GAGAGAGUCGUGAUGAUGAACACAUAUUAUUUAUAAAAAGUGCCAUAAAUAUAUUUAGUUAUAAAAAAUAAUGUUUUAAUUGUGAUUAAUAAUUCAAUUAAGUUUAAAUUACACAUUUUAAAGAUGUUCAAUUUAAAUGUGAACAAAAAAUUUAUACCAGUAAAAUUGAAUUAUUUCCUUCACUUAGGAUGUCUAGGUCCUAUAAUUGGAUUUUUACCUACGAUAGCGAAACAAUUGGGGUACUCAAUAACCACAUAUGGUGUCGUCAUGACUGUUAUGUCGAUGAUAUCGAUGAUAAUGGCACCUCUAGCCGGUGUAAUCGUCGACAGGUUCCGCGUGAAAAAAACGCUAUUUUUUACGAUGACACUAUUGCUGGGCGUGGUUUCAUUUUUCUUCAUGUUUGUACCAAAAGUGCCUUUGGAGAUGGGCUUGGAAAUGAAAUGCGAAUCUGAAAUUAUUAUGAUCGUUCGUGCCGAUACCACUCAACAAAAUACGUCGAUUUUUAAUGACGAGAACAAUGACGAAUUGAUCACAUGCAAGCUGACUUGUAAAAAUACGAAAUCGUAUGACCACCAAAUAAGUAAAUUGAACAAUCGAUCAGAUUUCUGCGAUUAUUGGACGGCAACCACCUUCAAUAGUGAUAUCGAAAAUAUAAACGAUCGUAGUCGGAUUGAUGUUACGUUGAAAUUGAAAGACACGGAACAAACCGAAAGUUCGUAUGUUUUCCACUUGUCGUCCGUCCAAAUGAACGGAACGGAAAUUCCUUUAACAUGCCAAUGUCGUUUAAAAACAUUUUGUCAUAUCUCAUGUCCUAAUGAAGACAUAAUGCUUAUAGCCACUGUGCCAGCAUCCAGAGGAAACGUUCUUAAUUUGUAUCAAUUUUGGAUUUUUUUCAUGACUAUGUCUGCGUUCUCGUGUUGCGCAGCUAUAACGAUAACUUUACAAAACCCAAUAUGUCUCGAUAUUUUAGAAGACAAACCUGAGGAUUACGGAAGACAAAAAUGUUGGUCAUCAUUUGGUUGGGGCAUUUUUUCCAUAUUCAUCGGGUGGCUUGUGGAUUGGUUCAGCAUCAAUAAAAAGGAAAAAGAUUAUUCGCCAGUUUUUUAUUCGUGUAUUUUACUCACAAUUUGUAAUUUAUUUGUCAUAAAUAAACUUAAAGUAACCGAAACGAAAAAAUCAAAAGGAAAAUGGAAGAGUAUAUAUGGAUUGUUUACUAAACAUUAUGUAAUUGUUUUUUAUAUAUGGGUAGCAUCAACCUCGUUUCUUCAUACGAUUAUUACACAUUUUCUAUUCUGGUACAUGGAGGAUUUGGUGUUUGCUAACAAUGACCACGACCAACGGGCGUGGCUUAAAACGCUUCAAGGUCUGGCUCAAGGCAUCCAGUGUUUUGGUGGUGAAAUUCCAUUUUAUUUCUGGUCUGGUUGGAUAAUCAGAAAGAUGGGUCACAUCAACUGCAUGGCCAUAGUGAUGGGAGCCAUGGCCAUCAGGAUGUAUCUUUAUACAGUCAUCUGGAACCCAGCUUGGAUCAUUGCAAUAGAGCUAUUGAACGGCGUGUCAUACGCGUUGGGAGGGUCGGUGAAAAUGUCGUACGCGAAAAUUAUGUCACCAGAGGACACCACGAACACUAUAAUCGGGAUAAUAGCACUUUUCGAUUGCAUUGGUAAAUUAAAAAAAUUGUCUUACACUUGAUAUUUAAUGUUUCUAUAUAGUCAUAGGUAAAAUGCUAUCACUAAAAACAAAAAAAGAAGAAAUCCACUCAGUAGCUUUAGUUACGUUAUAAUUCUCGAUUCUUAACUCUUUAAAAAAUACUAAAUGGUAAAUAAUAAUAAUUAGAAAAAAGUGGACAAAUGGGUACCGCUCUGCAGUACCUACAGUUAGCAGGUGUCGAGUGCGGAGUGGGUCACUGUAUGGACAUUAUGUUAAUUACUUAAAUAUGAGUUCAAUGUUAAAUCAUUGCACAUGAAAAACGAUUCUGAGGUGAAUCUUUAGGUAGUUUACUGGGCGGAUAUUUAUUCUAUUCAUACGGUGGAGUGUGGUCGUUUCGAU